UAGUCGGGGUUUAGUAUGUGAACCAAGACCGUCUUGAGUUAAUAGCUGAAUCGUAUCAGUCCUCGAUUGGUGUAGGUCAGUAUCUUACUACAAACAGAUGCAAUUUCAAUCUACAAUACGAAAAAAACUAAAGCAAUAUGACUACCCUCAUCAAACAAAUCCUAGAAAGCAAAUGAUAUAAAAUACAAAAUAACUAACUGUCCUAACCAGUAAUUGAAAAAAAAUCCAAUGGAGAGGGAGGGAGGGAAUGUGUGCAUCAGUCAGUUUUCGUCUUAACAACUUAAGAAAGAGUUAGUGCAUAUAUAGUUUGAACAUUAAAAAAUUCCAUUAUAUGCAAUAUCAAGUUAACUUUCCAUUAUAUCUUAAAUCACAGAAUCAAAGGUUAAAUCAAGGAGAUAUGACCAAAAAACCUAGAAGGUGUCACCUUUCUAAUUUAAAAGUAAAAUCCUGCCACCUCAUGCAUUUGACAUCAACUGAUAUUAUUGAAUGCCAAAAUCAACCAUUUGAGUCCUAAUUCAUUUAGAUAUCAAACUGUCCAAUUUCUAAUUCAGGUAUCAUCCAAGGGGUAAUUUAUGCUUCAAGUAUCUUGAACAUGAUGUGAUUCUUAAUAAGUGCAAAAGUUGAUAAAAUUGGUUUCUCUUUUAAUUGAAUUUUAAUCCAAAGACAGGAUGUGUCUUAAUCAGUGUAAAGAGCAUUGAAGCCUGCAAAUAUUCAUGUAUUCAUCUCUUUUAAGCAUAAAAUUAAGUUUAAUAAAGUUCGGUUUUUUUAAUUAUUUGUAUUAUGUGAGCGUAUGAGAGAGAAAGAUGCUGCAGUUAUAUGGUCAUUUACGGAGGACUUGGUGAGAAUUAAGCCAAGUUCCCUCAAUUGAGUUCAAGUGAAGAAAUUGGUGCAAUUUCAUAAUUCUUCUAGCAAAACCUUCAAAAGUUGAAGAUGUGAGGCCAAUGUUUAACAGAAUUAGAAGGUGCAGGCCUUUUUGUUUAUUUUAACAUCGAUCUUGGCAUAUUUCAUUAUUUUCACUCUCAUUAUUUACUAUUUAAUAUAUCUUUAUUUUUUUAUUCCACAUAUUUUCAUACUUUAUGUACUGUAGAGAAAGGUGGACCCACUUCCAACAUCACAUGAUCGCUUAACUUCUCAAUGCCAUGCUUGAUUUCUCAUAUUUAAAUUCAGAUCUUUCAGUGCCACCAAAAAGAAAUAAUUUUUUAUGAGUAUAUCCAAAUAGUUACCAUGCGAGAUUUUUUUUUUUUUUUCAGACAUUAAUUAGUGCAUGCAUGCAAAAACCCUUAAUUUUUUGAAACCAUCAAUUAGUAUUCAUCUCUCACUGGAUAGAACCGCGAAUGACUAGUAUAGAUAUCCUUUUUCUUUUCAAUUUUCAACUUUCUAGGACUAACUAAAAGGCUCAACAUAUGAUUCUAUACUUAAAGGCUACUUUGAUCUUCUGAAUUAUUUUAAAUUAGGGACAAUAGCAUGCAUGCAUGUAUUGGCUAGUCCGUAUGCCUGGAACAUACCAUUAAGCAAGUUCUACUCUCUCUUUGGCUGCCUUUUGGUCAUAAAGUGUUACGCACACCUGAUUUGGAAAUGUUGCUUAUUAAAAUGUAACUUGCAUUUGAAUCAUCUCUUAUAACAUGAAGAAUGAUUUCUUCAAGUCUUAACCCCCAGUAGGAUGGGAUGUUUCUUGCUUAAGAGAUUUGACAGAGCAGGAUUUGUGAAACUUAACACUGCCACCAGACCCUGAUUCCAGCCAGAAAGAAUGAGUUCCAGGACAAGGAAAUUUUGCUUAUUAUUAGUGUUAAAGUUAUUUUGGAUGACAAAUGCUUGUUGGAAGUAGUUGCUAUGCUUUAAGUGAUUGUCGUGCAGGGCUGGCCCAUGCAUUAGCAUGAAAGUGGAAUUCCAAGGACUUCCACCAUGUGAUCUGCUAGUAUGAUUGUGUUCCAUCUUUCUGCAACAUUCUAGCAAUGGACUUGUGCUUGUCAGUGGUGGUUUUGUUGGUAUAAUUUAUACUUUUAUUAUGAACUAGACCACUUCAUGGGACAACAGGUCAACCAGGUGUCACCAUUUACUUGGGCUGCUAUGUCAAAGGUCAUGCAUUGUUCUCACUUUCUUUCUCUCUUUAUAUAAAGUGAGAUUGUUGUUAGGAAAAGCUUCUAAGGCAUUUAAAGUAACAUUGAUGAGUAAAAAUUACUACAGAAAGGCAUCAUGAAAUAUGAAGAAUGCACAAAAAUGCACUUUAGAUAAGGGCCAGAAGCAUGGGUCUCAUUCAAUGUCUGUACUGGAUGGCAGUUGAGGAUUGAAAAGUAGGGUUCAAUGGAGUGGCGCUGAGGCUAGGGUUGUCCCUUAGCUUUGGAUCUGGUUACAACAUGUGAUCCAUCAUCUGGUACCAUGAUCCUACGGUGGGUGAUGGGUCUAUAUCUCACCUUCUUCCACGUAGAUAUGCCAUAGAUAAAGCCUAACUCAUUCUUUUAACCUUGUGGCUGUGAAUGCACUAAUGACUGUCUUGGUGUUGUCAAGUGUUAGUAAUUUUACACUCUGACUGAUAGCAGUAAGUUCGCUAUCUAUUUAAAAGAGUAAAUGGUAACUUGAUAUUGAGAAUGACAUUAAUGGAAAAAAAAUAUGGAUAUUGGUCAAAGUUUUCUGCUUUUGUACUUUCAGACUUAGGUUGGUAAAAUUUUAGAAGAUUUGAACUUAUUAAAAUGAGUAAAUUUUAUUGUUGCAGCUUAGUAUAGAGAGUUAUUAUUAUUAUUAUUAUUAUUAUUAAGAAAUAGGUUUAAAAGGGAGAAGCUUUCCAGUUAGCAUUGAGUUCCUUUCCAUCAUUGGGCCAAAAUGUGCAUUUUGCUUGGAGUUGGCAUCGAUUUGACUUCUAUCAUUUGGUUAAAAUGUUUAUGUUUGCUUGGAAAGAGAAAGAUUUGUUAAAAUUGGCUUUGACUAGCAUUUAUGCAUAUAUUUAACCAAAAAUAACACAAGUUUGCAGACUUUGUGCUUGAGAAAGGAUACUAGAGUCCAACGUAUUGCUCAAUAAGAUGAUGUGUCACCUAGCUCCUUUUCCAAACAUACUUGGCAUGUGGGAUCUGCUUAACUAUUGAAUUAAGGAAAAGCAGCAUUUAUGUUUCACCUCCGGCAUUUAGCUUGGAACAGAGUACAUAGCAUCUUGGUAUUGUGAAAAUUGAUACAUUAUCUGGAAAUGCCGCCACACCGUGUUCUGUGGUAGUCUUAAAUGUAACUUUUUCCUCUAGCAACCUUUGGAAUGAUUUUAUAUUGCUAAUAUGGAGAUGAUUUAGGCCUGUAGAAAUUGGGUUUUACAAUUAACUAGUGACAAUUCUUAACAAAUUUAUUAGCUAAGGUAGAUUACACUGACACAAGUACUUCACUUAUAGAAACUUACUAAACCCACUGAGAUGUUCUCUCACAAAGACAUUCAUACAUACAGAUCCCCAGAAAAUAGUAGUAGUCCAUAGAGGAGAUUGACUUUUCAGGAAGAUGAAGCUUAGUUUCAGAUGAUAAAUAUGAAGGCCACAAAGUACAAGCAACAUGGAGCUAGGCUUUUACAUCAGCAAACAAUCUAGCAAACUCCUAAAAACCAUUAUGCUUCCAACAACUAGUUUCCAGAGAGCUUAUCCAUGGUCUAGUCAAAUUUGGAUGGUAAUUGCGUGGAAUUAAGUAUGGGUUUUCAAUGACAAACAAAUGAAGGCCUCUUGCAGCUAAUGACCCAUUAAUGGAUGCAGUUAUGCAUGAAUAAAUAUGUACAGGUGAAAAAACUUGGCCAAAAUUCUGAUUGCACAUAAUGUGCAUUUUUUCAUUGUCAGGUGGCUUGCGUCCACACCAUGCACAAAGAGCUCGAUCAAUCGAGUCGAAUCAUGCAUGCAUAUGAAUGUAAUCUUUUGAUUCAUUUGUGCA